GGGGAAUUUUCCGCAAUGGGCGAAAGCCUGACGGAGCAAGACCGCGUGAGGGAUGACGGCCUAAUGGUUGUAAACCUCUUUUCUCUGGGAAGAUAAUGACGGUACCAGAGGAAUAAGCCUCGGCUAACUCCGUGCCAGCAGCCGCGGUAAUUCGGAGGAGGCAAGCGUUAUCCGGAAUUAUUGGGCGUAAAGCGUCCGUAGGUGGUUAAUCAAGUCAGCUGUUAAAGAGCGGAGCUCAACUCCGUUAGAGCGGUUGAAACUGAUUGACUAGAGUUUGGUAGGGGUCGAGGGAAUUCCCAGUGUAGCGGUGAAAUGCGUAGAUAUUGGGAAGAACACC
rnacentral:rRNA from 1 species